GCCACCCUCGAACGGGCAAAAGAAAGAAAGAGGCAGGCAUUCCUCAGGCCUUAUCUCUCUGGUUCUUUCUGCUACAUUUGACACCUUGGGAUGACUCUCACCUUCUGGAAUCUCUCUACUACCUUGGUUUCAGAAGAGUGAACCCUCUGGAUUAUCACAUGAAGCUACUUCCUGUGAGCAGCCCAGGGAUGGCCAGUCACUUGUGACCUACUUUCAGAGCUGGCAGUUCUGACUUCUAGAACAAACUCGGAACAAGCCCAUCUACAGCUGGUUGACUGAGUUUCCUUUGGGCUCCUGGCACCAGAAAGAAUUGCUCACUGGAAGGAUCAUAGGUGGCACUCAUGUCUCACUGCCCCACUCAGGAAGGACAGAAGCCCUUUUCUUCUCAGUGAAUAAGAUUGGGAAUCUUGGCCGCGCGCAGUGGUUCACACCUGUAAUCCCAGCACUUUGGGAGGCCGAGGUGGGCAGAUCCCCUGAGGUCAGGAGUUCGAGACCAGCCUGGCCAACAUGAUGAAACCUCAUCUCUACUAAAAAUACCAAACCAGCAGGGCAUGAUGGCGCAUGCCUGUAAUCCCAGCUACUCAGUAGGCUGAGGCAGGAGAAUCGCUUGAACCUGGGAGGCAGAGGCUGCAGUGAGCCGAGAUUGUGCCACUGCACUCAAGCCUGGGCAAUAAGAGUGAAGCUCCGUCUCAAAAAAUAAUAAUAAUAAAUAAAAAGAUUGGGAAUCUUGAG
rnacentral:lncRNA from 10 species